rnacentral:rRNA from 1 species
UACAGAGGGUGCGAGCGUUAAUCGGAAUUACUGGGCGUAAAGGGCGCGUAGGCGGUUAUUUAAGUUAGAUGUGAAAUCCCUGGGCUUAACCUAGGAACUGCAUCUGAUACUGGAUAGCUGGAGUGCGGUAGAGGGUAGUGGAAUUUCCGGUGUAGCGGUGAAGUGCGUAGAUAUCGGAAGGAACACCAGUGGCGAAGGCGGCUACCUGGACUGACACUGACGCUGAGGCGCGAGAGCGUGGGGAGCAAACAGG